CAGCCGCCGCGGUAAUACGUAGGUGGCAAGCGUUGUCCGGAAUUAUUGGGCGUAAAGCGCGCGCAGGCGGAUAGGUCAGUCUGUCUUAAAAGUUCGGGGCUUAACCCCGUGAUGAGAUGGAAACUGCCAAUCUAGAGUAUCGGAGAGGAAAGUGGAAUUCCUAGUGUAGCGGUGAAAUGCGUAGAUAUUAGGAAGAACACCAGUGGCGAAGGCGACUUUCUGGACGAAAACUGACGCUGAGGCGCGAAAGCCAGGGGAGCGAACGGGAUUAGAGACCCCCGUAGUCCCUGUCUCUUAUACA
rnacentral:rRNA from 1 species